UACAGAGGUCCCGAGCGUUGUUCGGAUUUAUUGGGCGUAAAGGGUGCGUAGGCGGCGGAGUAAGUUGGGUGUGAAAUCCCGGGGCUCAACCUCGGAAUGGCAUUCAAUACUGCUUCGCUAGAGUACUGGAGAGGAGGCUGGAAUUUACGGUGUAGCAGUGAAAUGCGUAGAUAUCGUAAGGAAGGCCGGUGGCGAAAGCGAGCCUCUGGACAGUUACUGACGCUGAUG
rnacentral:rRNA from 1 species